rnacentral:rRNA from 1 species
AAUCAACGCUGGCGGCGUGCCUCAGACAUGCAAGUCGAACGAUUAAAGCUCUCUUCGGAGAGUGUAUAGAGUGGCGCACGGGUGAGUAACACGUAAGUAAUCUACCCUCGAGUGGGGAAUAACGUUCGGAAACGAACGCUAAUACCGCAUAAUGCAGCGGCACCGCAAGGUGACAGUUGUUAAAGGAGCAAUUCGCUUGAGGAGGAGCUUGCGGCAGAUUAGCUUGUUGGUAAGGUAACGGCUUACCAAGGCUACGAUCUGUAUCCGGUCUUAGAGGACGGUCGGACACACUGACACUGAAUAACGGGUCAGACUCCUACGGGAGGCAGCAGUCGGGAAUUUUGGGUCAAUGGGCGAAAGCCUCGACCCAGCAACGCCGCGUGAAGGAU